rnacentral:rRNA from 1 species
AUGGCUUGGGAUAAAUUGGUUCUACCUAAAUCCAAAGGAGGGAUGUGGUACAGGGAUAUGAGGGCGUUUAAUCAAGCUUUGCUUGCUAAACAAGCCUGGCGACUCCUUGUUGCACCUGAAUCGCUUUGUGCAAGACUACUAUGGGCUAAAUAUUAUCCAAAUGGGAAUCUACUGGAUAGUUUUUCCGAGUAA